UUUUUUUUUUUUUUGCACUGUCUUUUGUUUAAUUCUUUUUCCUAUGUUUGAAAUUCUAAAGUCUUUGUAUUGGUCUGUAUGCUUUUCAAAAAUGAAGAUUGUUUUCUACUGGAGUUGUAUUGGUCUACUUAAUUCCACUGCAUUCUGAGUUAUUAGCCUGAGCAAUAUCCUGCCUUGACGGCAAAACACCAUUAUUCACAUAGAAGACCACAAGUAAGUUCAAAUCUUAGGUCAGUUUCUCUUUUGCAAGUUUGAGUCCUCAUUCAUGGGAACCAAAGGGGAAAAUUUUCUCCUUCCUGUGUUGUACAUCUGUUGAACUUUUCCUGGACUUCUGUGAUGUAAAAGUUCUUAUUUAGAAAUAGUCAUUUCUAAGUAUAUCUGUGGCCUAUAAACAAUAACAACAACAAUAAUAAGACCAAGUAACUUUUAAAUGCUGUGUUUUUCCCAAUUUUGAUUUUUUAAAAAUAAUUAAUUAAUUUUAUCUAUAUAAGUACACUGUAGCUGUCUCAGACACAGACCAAAAGAAGGCAUUGAAUCCCAUUAUAGAUAGUUGUCAUCCACCGUGUGGUUGAUGGGAAUUGAACUCAGGACCUCUGGAAGCGUAGUCCUUGCUCUUAACCACUCAGCCAUCUCUCUAGUCCCUCAGUUUAAACUUUAAUAGAAACUCUGAGCUGGAAGCUAGUGCUGUCUUCUUGGUUUAGGGAGUAGGAGAAAUGAGUGCAAUUCUCUGUACAUCUUCCCUAAGGUGGUGCUGUACUUGUCCAUCCUGUGGGUGGGAACGGGGAUGGGGUUAAGAUUGGUCCUUUGUCUCCCCCAUCUUGUCUUGAAGGCUGUGGUAGCUCUGGGAGUUGUCGAGGCCUUGGAGGUGCAGAAGUGCCAAUGGACAUGAAGCAGAUGGCUUUAUAAAAUAUCAGUUCUAUUAAAAAUGAUGGCAAAACCAUGUGUGAGACAGGAAGUAUAUCUACCAAAAACCCGCAGUGCAACUCAUGUUAGACAUAAAAAAAUAAAACCUAUUCUACAGAACCAAGAUCGGCUCCGUGAGGUCCACUUUUCCCUAUUAUGAAGAAUAUGUUUAUCCUGAAGGAGUGACAUCUGGUGAUAACAUUCCUUCAUUUGGAAAUGAAUCCGUGGAAAGAAGUUUCCACUGACUUACAGGGAGAAAAAUGAAUUGGCUUAACCCAGCAUCCAGCUCUUUAUCCUCAGGAGAGAGCCCAGUCAGUCAUAAGAGGCAGCUGCCUUGCGCAGAUGCCAAGCUCCUGCGGCUUGCUUUGUCAGCCCUUCCUGAGCAGUGGGUUGCAGGCAACUGCCUAUGUAGGUGUAUCCGCAGAUGUGGAGGAGUCAUUUGGGAGACGAGCACAUCCCAUGAGGAUGUGCAGUCACCAGAAAGCGCGCACAGCCCACUUAUCUGGACAGUGAGCACACUACUUUUGGGAGAAUGCUUACCCAGUAGACUAAGGGUUACAGACCAGGAAGCCAUAAGUACAUGUAGGGCCUGACCGUGUACCCAGAGUGUGUACUGCGAAUAGGGGCAGUGCUAGUUUUUCUUUUAUCGUUCUAAUAUGAUGGCCACAUCCAGACUUUCAGGCUUCACACGCAUGUGCUCAUCUUGGAUCAGUUUGAAGAAAAUGAAGGUGAAAAGAAAUAUAGAGUGCUUUCGGUGUGUUCCCGUCCAUCUUCAUUGCUGUAGAAUCACGGGUUUUUAACUGAGGUUCAUUUCACAGGAUCUGGCCAGAUCCUACUCUUUGGCAAGUGGAGCAAUUAUUUUUGGAAAAUGAGAAAAGCACAGAAGAAUCUAGCAGAAGCAUCUUCGGACAUCUUAAACCAUGAUUCAUAUCAAUGGGAAUUCUGCUUUGAAAGACUGAAAUGAAGUGCCCAAAGUAACUCUGGGAGUUUUGAGGGAGAGCCCACGAGCCCUGUCUUAGUGCCCAUGAGAUUGUGAUGGGUGAAAAUACCAGCUUGUUGUUCAUGUCCUUUCGCAACUUUCUUCCAGGUGGAAGACGGUCUUUGACACAUGAAUUGAGUCACCUGAAUGAAUGACAUGAGCUCCUUAGGCAUCUCUGGGCUUUUGGGUGUGUAGACGUGCCAGGAAUGUCUUAUGUUCUUGGUAACUGAGGACUGUCACCUUCUGGCGGGAAAGAUGGUGUGGUCAUGGCCACGGUGCCUCUCCUCCCCUGAACAUCUGGCUCUGUGCCUUCCAUCAUGCUUAUCAGCUGAGGAGAAACAAGCUUCAGGGAUUUAGUUGACUAGAUUCUGC
rnacentral:lncRNA from 1 species